CCCUUAGAUGUUCUGGGCCGCACGCGCGCUACACUGUUCGACGCAGCGAGUCUUAACCUUGACCGAAAGGUUUGGGUAAUCUUCAGCAAAGUCGAACGUGAUGGGGAUCGAUCAUUGCAAUUAUUGAUCGUGAACGAGGAAUUCCUAGUAAGUGCAAGUCAUCAGCUUGCGCUGAUUACGUCCCUGCCCUUUGUACACACCGCCCGUCGCUACUACCGAUUGAAUGGUUUGGUGAGAUCUCUGGAUUGACGCUGGCUAGGGGGCGACCCUUGGCCAGACUGUUGAGAAACUGCUCAAACUUGAUCAUUUAGAGGAAGUAAAAGUCGUAACA
rnacentral:rRNA from 1 species